rnacentral:rRNA from 1 species
UACAGAGGGUGCAAGCGUUAUUCGGAUUUACUGGGCGUAAAGGGCGAGUAGGUUGUUUGGUAAGUCUGGUGUGAAAUCCCUCGACUCAAUCGAGGAAGUGCACCGGAUACUGCUAGACUAGAGUAUGGGAGAGGUGAGUGGAAUUCCAGGUGUAGAGGUGAAAUUCGUAGAUAUCUGGAGGAACAACAGAGGCGAAGGCGGCUCACUGGAGCAUUACUGACACUGAGGCGCGAAAGCGUGGGGAGCAAACAGG